rnacentral:rRNA from 1 species
ACCCGCUGAACUUAAGCAUAUCAAUAAGCGGAGGAAAAGAAACCAACAGGGAUUGCCUUAGUAACGGCGAGUGAAGCGGCAAAAGCUCAGAUUUGAAAUCUGGCGUCUUAUGGCGUCCGAGUUGUAAUCUGUAGAGGAGUGUUCGAGCAUGGCUUUGGCUUAAGUUCCUUGGAACAGGACGUCAUGGAGGGUGAGAAUCCCGUGUACGGCCUUUGACUUAUGCUUAUGUGUACUUCCUUCAACGAGUCGAGUUGUUUGGGAAUGCAGCUCUAAAUGGGUGGUAAAUUUCAUCUAAAGCUAAAUACUGGCAGGAGACCGAUAGCGCACAAGUAGAGUGAUCGAAAGAUGAAAAGAACUUUGGAAAGAGAGUUAAAUAGUACGUGAAAUUGUUGAAAGGGAAGCACUUGCUCCCAGACUUGCCUGCAGCUGAUCAACCGUCAUUCUUGAUGGUGCACUUGGUUGUAGGCAGGCCAGCAUCAGUCUAGACGACGAGAAAAAGAUUCAGGGAAUGUGGCUCUCCUCGGGGAGGACUUAUAGGGCGGUCGGCAUGCGACCAGCCUGGACUGAGGUCCGCGCAUCUGCUAGGAUGCUGGCGUAAUGGCUGU